rnacentral:rRNA from 1 species
UACGGAGGGGGUUAGCGUUGUUCGGAAUUACUGGGCGUAAAGCGCACGUAGGCGGAUAUUUAAGUUAGAGGUGAAAUCCCAGGGCUCAACCCUGGAACUGCCUUUAAUACUGGAUGUCUUGAGUUCGAGAGAGGUAAGUGGAAUUCCAAGUGUAGAGGUGAAAUUCGUAGAUAUUUGGAGGAACACCAGUGGCGAAGGCGGCUUACUGGCUCGAUACUGACGCUGAGGUGCGAAAGCGUGGGGAGCAAACAGG